ensembl:snRNA U6 U6 spliceosomal RNA
GCACUCACUUCGACAGCACGUGAAUUAAAUUGGAAAGACAGAGAAGAUUAGCAUGGCCCCUACACAAGGAUGACAUGCAAAUUCAUGAAGUUUUCACACACAAA